UAAUAGUUAGGCUUUUAUUUGCAUUUAUAUGCUUGUGUGCUUGCAUGCUUAUGUGUUUACGUGCUUAUCUGCUUUCAUUAGGGUUUUGCAUUUAGAAAUUAUGCUUACGUGUUAUGCGAUCUAUGUGUUUUAUGUGUUUACUUCUUUUAAUUAUGUUUUGUAUGAUUCAUUUAGUUAUAAUAAAUGCAUGACGUCACCACACUAGUCCAAUGUUAGUUGUGGCCUUUUCUUCUGAUUUCUCACUAGUACAACGCUAGUGAAGAUUUGUAGAAAUGUGUUAGUCCAAUGCUAGACCCUUUAGGCCGUCCCGCGAUAGAAUCACUUGUUUUGCGUGACAUUCAUCGUAUUUCAUACAUGUUUUUCAUUUUUAGGGUAUUUUCCAAUCUUGCGUGAUA
rnacentral:lncRNA from 1 species